CAGCACCUCAAGUGGUCAGGAUGAUUAGUGGGCCUAAAGCAUCCGUAGCCGGCGCUGUAAGUUUUCGGUUAAAUCUGUACGCUCAACGUACAGGCUGCCGGGAAUACUGCAGCGCUAGGGAGUGGGAGAGGUAGACGGUACUCGGUAGGAAGGGGUAAAAUCCUUUGAUCUAUUGAUGACCACCUGUGGCGAAGGCGGUCUACCAGAACGCGUCCGACGGUGAGGGAUGAAAGCUGGGGGAGCAAACCGGAUUAGAUACCCGAGUAGUCC
rnacentral:rRNA from 1 species